rfam:Oryza sativa Indica Group cultivar 93-11 Ctg037005, whole genome shotgun sequence.
CCUCCGUCGCAAACCCUGGGUUUUCGUGUCCAACUUUGACUGUCCGUCUUAUAUAAAUUUUUUUUAUAAUUCGUAUUUUCAUUGUUGUUAGAUGAUAAAACAUGAUUAAUAUUUUAUGCGUUACUUGUCUUUUUAAUUUUUUUCAUAAUUUUUUCAAAUAAGACGGACGGUCAAACAUUGGACACGGAAAUCAGGGUUUGUCUUUUU